GAUUUAUUUACCAGAGGUAUCAGGUUACCUGGCAACCCAGUACAGUUUACAGUAUCAGGCCCGGCCUCUCUCUGCCCUUCUCAACGGGCAGGUACUGAGACACAGUGGGCAGCCAGGCCAAAGACUGAGGAAUCAGUGACCGUCUGGAAUCAUCGGGAGAGACUGGACACAGGGCCACUGCAUCACAUCCUACUUGCAAACAAAGGAAUGCUUAAAUCGUCCAUCAGACAUAAAAAUGCCAGCUCUCAGAAGCCAUUCCAGUGCAGGUAAAUGCUUCUGUCCUAGCUGAGACUGCAUGGUAAGGGCAAUGGAGCUCUUUCUCUGCAUGCAGUAUUGUCUCCUUGAACAAGAAAAUAUGGCAUUCAAAUCUAUUACUGUUUUAACUGUUAAAAGCAUCUAAACAUGAGAAAGAGCAAGCAUUUUAUCUUCAGAAUUGCAUUCCAAAAAGAAGGAAGCAUGAAUAUUUGUCAGAAGUCUUUCAUUACAAUUUUUUUAUCACCAAGGUUCUGAUAAUCUGUACCUUGUUAGAAUUCUGUUGUUCAUAUACAACAAGAAAUCAUGAAAGAAAUUUUAACAUAAGUCAGGUUUAGCAGAUUGCGCUGUGCAUUUGAGAUAUAACUGUAUAAUUCCGUUGCACAUAAGGGUGAUCAGUAGGCAUAAAAAGUGUCUCAUACAAUAAAAAGUGAAUCACUACUUGUACUUGUCAGUGGUUAUUUCACUCCUGGGUGUCAGAGUACAGCCCUUGUGUGACAGAGUGUGAUCACCAAGAAGGUUAAAAAUUGUUGCUGAGAGAAAAAGAACAUCAGUUUUAACUGUAUUGAUUUAAUUUCAUUAAAGAUUCUGAAAACUUUAUAAAGGUAAAA
rnacentral:lncRNA from 1 species